UUACUACUGUCUUGUAAAGCACACUGAACCCUCCAUUCUCUGCAGGUAGAGCAGCUCUUUAAGGACCAGAGAAUCCUAGUCGCAUAUGAUCUAUUGGACCACUUAAGUGAAAUAAACCUUCCUUAUAUUUGGAGACAUACGUAUAAUUCUAUUGGACGACAUUGCUAUUUUAUUUUGUAGUUUGUGAAUUUUAACUGGUCGGCUUUCAUUUCAUAUAGACAUUGAAUUGGAGCAGCUAGUCUUCUUAGCUUUGACAAUGUAGCAGUUAAUAGAUCCAUUUAAUUCAUUUUGAAAGUUUGGAGAAAGAAAUACUUGACUGAUUUAAUCUGUUAGGUGUAUAUGUGUGUGGCUUAUUUUUAUUUUUGUUUUGAACAUUUGGUUAGCUUCUUUGUCUCUAGUUAGAUUUUUUUUUUUUUCCAUAAAACUAGUUGUCCCCUCCCUGAUUUCAUUGUGAGUAUGAAUUUGAGAUACACACAAACACACACAAGGUUGGCAACAAACCCACUCUUGUCAGAGUUUCACCCUUGUUAACUCGUAGAAACUUGAAUCAGAGAAGGAUUAGGUUGCCAGACAGGAAAUAUCAUCUUAGAAAUGAUGGUCUGAAGGUCAGAUUUUAAAAGUUUUUAAAAUACAUCGUUCUGAUAGCCCCUCUUAAGCCUUUUCUCAAUUUUUCUUUCAAUGCAGGUGCCAUUCUUCAGUGAUGAUGAAGAAACACCUAGUACGCCGAAGACAGAUGCUCUUUUCAUUCCUCGGGAGAAUCCAAGGGCAUUGGUUAUUCGUCCCACGGACCAGUGGCCCACAAGAUCUGGUGCAGAAAAGCAGUCUCCAUUGAAAGAUACAGAUGUGCCAGUUCAUCAAGAUGGUGGAAGCUUUAGCAGUUCAAUUGACUCACUAGGAAGGAGAGAUACUUCAAGAAAAAACCAGAAGUGAAAAAGAUAGCAAAUUGUCCUAAGCAGGGAAGAGAGAAAAGAGCAUGCUAUCUGAUCUUGAGAAAGCAUGUGUAGAAUGUAGAUAAGAUAGCUGUUGCAGAGGAGUUGCUGAAAAAGAAGAAGCUGGUCAUUAGCUACCCUUAUUUAAUAGUUAUUUUGAUUUCAUAGCCUGUGAUCUAAGUGAAGGUAUCACCCUUAAUAGAGUUGAAUGGUUGAAUCAUUAUGUAGUUUAUGGAAAAAUCUGAUUUCCAUGGCGAAUAGUGCUCACUGAGAUCAGAUUCUAUAUUCAAAUAAAA